rnacentral:rRNA from 1 species
AACGAGCGCUGGCGGCAGGCUUAACACAUGCAAGUCGAGCGCCCCGCAAGGGGAGCGGCAGACGGGUGAGUAACGCGUGGGAAUCUACCCAUCUCUACGGAAUAACGCAUGGAAACGUGUGCUAAUACCGUGUACGUCCUUCGGGAGAAAGAUUUAUCGGAGAUGGAUGAGCCCGCGUUGGAUUAGCUAGUUGGUGGGGUAAAGGCCUACCAAGGCGACGAUCCAUAGCUGGUCUGAGAGGAUGAUCAGCCACACUGGGACUGAGACACGGCCCAGACACCUACGGGAGGCAGCAGUGGGGAAUAUUGGACAAUGGGCGCAAGCCUGAUCCAGCCAUGCCGCGUGAGUGACGAAGGCCCUAGGGUUGUAAAGCUCUUUCACCGGUGAAGAUAAUGACGGUAACCGGAGAAGAAGCCCCGGCUAACUUCGUGCCAGCCGCCGCCGUAACAC